CCUACGGGCGGCAGCAGUGGGGAAUAUUGGGCAAUGGAGGCAACUCUUACCCAGCAAUGCCGCGUGAAGGAAGAAGGUCUUCGGAUUGUAAAGCUCUUUUAUUGGGGACGUAAACAAUGACGGUACCCAAUGAAUAAGCCCCGGCUAACUACGUGCCAGCAGUCGCGGGAAUACGUAGGGGGCAAGCGUUGUUCGGAAUGACUGGGCGUAAAGGGUGUGUAGGCGGUGUAGCAAGUUAGAAGUGAAAUACCUAGAGCUUAACUCAGGUGCUGCUUCUAAAACUGCUAUACUUGAGUGCAGUAGAGGAAAGUGGAAUGCCUAGUGUAGCGGUGGAAUGCGUAGAUAUUAGGCGGAACACCAGUGGCGAAGGCGACUUUCUGGACUAUAACUGACGCUGAGGCACGAAAGUGUGGGGAGCAAACAGGAUUAGAUACCCGGGUAGUC
rnacentral:rRNA from 1 species